rnacentral:rRNA from 1 species
GAUGAACGCUGACAGAAUGCUUAGCACAUGCAAGUCAACUUGAACUUCGGUUUGGGUGGCGGACGGGUGAGUAACGCGUAAAGAACUUGCCUCACAGUUAGGGACAACAUUUGGAAACGAAUGCUAAUACCUGAUAUUAUGAUUUUAGGGCAUCCUAGAAUUAUGAAAGCUAUAUGCGCUGUGAGAGAGCUUUGCGUCCCAUUAGCUAGUUGGAGAGGUAACGGCUCACCAAGGCGAUGAUGGGUAGCCGGCCUGAGAGGGUGAACGGCCACAAGGGGACUGAGACACGGCCCUUACUCCUACGGGAGGCAGCAGGGGGGAAUAUUGGACAAUGGACCAAGAGUCUGAUCCAGCAAUUCUGUGUGCACGAUGAAGUUUUUCGGAAUGUAAAGUGCUUUCAGUUGGGAAGAAAAAAAUGACGAUACCAACAGAAGAAGUGACGGCUAAAUACGUG